UUAGAGUUUGAUCCUGGCUCAAGAUGAACGCUGGCGGCAGGCUUAAUACAUGCAAGUCGAACGGUAACGACCGGUAGCAAUACUGGGGCGACUAGUGGCGCACGGGUGCGUAACGCGUAUGCAACCUACCCUCCACCGGGGCAUAACGCCGAGAAAUUGGCGCUAAUAUCCCAUGUGUAUAUGGAGUGGCAUCUCUUCAUAUAUAAAGAUCCGUUGGUUAAGGAUGGGCAUGCGUAACAUUAGCUAGUUGGCGGGGUAACGGUCCACCAAGGCGACGAUGUUUAGGGGUUCUGAGAGGAUUCACCCCCACACUGGAACUGAGACACGGUCCAGACUCCUACGGGAGGCAGCAGUAGGGAAUAUUGGGCAAUGGAGGCAACUCUGACCCAGCCAUGCCGCGUGAAGGAAGACGGCCCUAUGGGUUGUAAACUUCUUUUGCCGCAGAGUAACCGCGGGGACGAGUCCCUGCCUGAGAGUAUGCGGCGAAUAAGUAUCGGCUAACUCCGUGCCAGCAGCCGCGGUAAUACGAAGGAUACGAGCGUUAUCCGGAUUUAUUGGGUUUAAAGGGUGCGCAGGCGGACCGUUAAGUCAGGGGUGAAAAGUUGGGGCUCAACUCCAAUCGUGCCUUUGAUACUGGCGGACUAGAGUGCAGGGGACGUGACUGGAAUGUGAUGUGUAGCGGUGAAAUGCUUAGAUAUGUCACAGAACGCCGAUCGUGAAGACAGGUCACGAAUCUGCAACUGACGCUCAUGCACGAAAGCGUGGGGAUCAAACAGGAUUAGAUACCCUGGUAGUCCACGC
rnacentral:rRNA from 1 species